GGCUGGCGGCGCCGAGGCUUCUGCGCGCGGCACAUGGGGUGCCUGACUGAGGCGGCGGCGGCGGCAGCGCUUCAGCGGCGCGCUCGGCUGGGCCCCCUCCCGCUCCCCUACCCCUCUUGUCCACGUCCCCCGGCUACGCGGCCACCAUGGCGUCCAGCGAGGAGGACAGCACCAACGGCGGCGCCUCGGAGGCCGGCGAGGAGAGGGAGGCCGCGGGCAAGAUGAGGCGCCGGGGCUUGCUGGCCACCGCCUGGCUCACCUUCUACAACAUUGCCAUGACCGCGGGGUGGCUGGUACUAGCUAUUGCCAUGGUACGUUUUUAUAUGGAAAAAGGAACACACAAAGGUUUAUAUAAAAGUAUUCAGAAGACACUUAAAUUUUUCCAGACAUUUGCCUUGCUUGAGAUAGUCCACUGUUUAAUUGGAAUUGUACCUACUUCUGUGCUUGUGGCUGGGGUCCAAGUGAGUUCAAGAAUCUUUAUGGUGUGGCUCGUUACUCACAGUAUAAAACCAAUCCAGAAUGAGGAGAGCGUGGUGCUUUUUCUGGUCGCGUGGACGGUGACAGAGAUCACUCGCUAUUCCUUCUACACAUUCAGUCUUCUCGACCACUUGCCGUACUUCGUUAAAUGGGCCAGAUAUAAUUUUUUUAUCAUCUUAUAUCCUGUUGGAGUUGCUGGUGAACUUCUUACUAUAUACGCUGCCUUACCAUAUGUGAAGAAAACAGGAAUGUUGUCAAUAAGACUUCCCAAUAAAUACAAUGUCUCUUUUGACUACUAUUAUUUUCUUCUUAUAACCAUGGCCUCGUAUAUACCAUUGUUUCCACAACUCUACUUUCAUAUGUUACGUCAGAGAAGAAAGGUGCUUCACGGAGAGGUGAUUGUCGAAAAGGAUGAUUAAAUGAUCCCUUCGACAAGGUAUGCUGCUUUCCUGGCCUGUUUUAGAGACACUACUAAAUGUGUGACUUUAAAAGAAAAGGAACUUUUGGCCUGCUAUAGGGAGUGGUCAGUAGUGAAAUGCAGCAGGAAUUUCAGUAAGGCGAGAAUGGGAAGUGUCUAUCGUGUCUCCCGAUGAUUUGUUAAAUUCUGAACGUUACCAGAACAGAUUCGUGGGUAUGUGAAUGGCUGAAGCAAGAUGGCGUGCAGUGAAUUGAAAUGUGGGUGAGAAGCAUUUCUAUUGUAUAUUUUACUGAGUGAAGAAACCACCCCAGGACUUCCCUGGCAGUCCAGUGGUUAGGACUCAGCACUUCCACUGCCGAGGGCCCGGGUUCAAUCCCUAAUCAGGGAACUGAGAUCCAGCAAGCCUUGCAGCAUGGCCAAAAAAGAAAAAAAAAGAAAAAAGAAACCACCCAAAACGUAGUGGCUUAAAGCAAGUCAUUUUACUCUCCCAUUGGCCUGAGUCGACCGGGCUCAGCUGGGCAGUUUCUUUACUCCAUGUGAUGUCAGCUGGGGACUCACCUGGGUCAGAGCAUCCCUGAUGAUUUGCAUGCGUGGCUGUCACCUGGGAGCUGAGCUGGGGCUCUUAACUGGCCUUCCUGGGUACGGACUUUCUGUCUGGCCUGGGCUUCUCCAGGGUAGCUGGGUGGGGAGAGGCUGCGUACCCAGAGCAAGGAGGGGAAGCUGUCUUCGUAAAGGUGAGACUGAGAACUGGUCCGCAUCACUUGCAGCCCAUUCUGUUGUUCAGGCAGACCUAGGGCCAGCCCAGAGUCCAGGGGAGGGGACAUGAAGCCACCUCCUAAUGGCGAGAGUGACAAAUCAUUUCUGUCCAUCUUUAAGCCGUCACAGGAAGCCUUUGCCAGAAAUUAAUUACAACUGAAAUGUCCCCUGCACAACUCAUAUUAAAAAAGAGUCCUAGCUGAGAGAAUUACAAACUUAUUUGAAGAAAAUUCUAAGAUUACGACUAACAAAAAAUCUGCAUGCCCUACCCCCUGUGAAACAAGGAGGAAUGUAACAGGCAACUUACUCCAAAAUGUUUGGGUAGCUUGAAAAAUUGUGUUUAGUGAGUUUUGCUUUGGAAUAAUGCCCUCUGCUUACAUUGACGGAAACAAUAAACCAUCACAGGCAAUCUGCUUGUGCACUUCUCUUAGAGUAUGGAUAAUAUCCUCUACAUUACCUAUGUGAAGAGCAUUAAAGAUUUUUUUCCAAAUCCUAGUGCUAGGAAAUCUUUACUUUCUGUGAAGAACUGAUACGAUUGUUUCUUAUAGUCAAUGCAAAACU